rnacentral:rRNA from 1 species
AGCGUACACGGUGGAUGCCUAGGCAGUCAGAGGCGAUGAAGGGCGUGCUAAUCUGCGAAAAGCGUCGGUAAGCUGAUAUGAAGCGUUAUAACCGACGAUACCCGAAUGGGGAAACCCAGUGCAAUACGUUGCACUAUCGUUAGAUGAAUACAUAGUCUAACGAGGCGAACCGGGGGAACUGAAACAUCUAAGUACCCCGAGGAAAAGAAAUCAACCGAGAUUCCCCCAGUAGCGGCGAGCGAACGGGGAGGAGCCCAGAGUCUGAAUCAGUUUGUGUGUUAGUGGAAGCGUCUGGAAAGUCGCACGGUACAGGGUGAUAGUCCCGUACACCAAAAUGCACAGGCUGUGAACUCGAUGAGUAGGGCGGGACACGUGACAUCCUGUCUGAAUAUGGGGGGACCAUCCUCCAAGGCUAAAUACUCCUGACUGACCGAUAGUGAACCAGUACCGUGAGGGAAAGGCGAAAAGAACCCCGGCGAGGGGAGUGAAAUAGAACCUGAAACCGUGUACGUACAAGCAGUGGGAGCACCUUCGUGGUGUGACUGCGUACCUUUUGUAUAAUGGGUCAGCGACUUAUAUUUUGUAGCAAGGUUAACCGAAUAGGGGAGCCGUAGGGAAACCGAGUCUUAACUGGGCGUCUAGUUGCAAGGUAUAGACCCGAAACCCGGUGAUCUAGCCAUGGGCAGGUUGAAGGUUGGGUAACACUAACUGGAGGACCGAACCGACUAAUGUUGAAAAAUUAGCGGAUGACUUGUGGCUGGGGGUGAAAGGCCAAUCAAACCGGGAGAUAGCUGGUUCUCCCCGAAAGCUAUUUAGGUAGCGCCUCGUGAACUCAUCUUCGGGGGUAGAGCACUGUUUCGGCUAGGGGGCCAUCCCGGCUUACCAAACCGAUGCAAACUCCGAAUACCGAAGAAUGUUAUCACGGGAGACACACGGCGGGUGCUAACGUCCGUCGUGAAGAGGGAAACAACCCAGACCGCCAGCUAAGGUCCCAAAGUCAUGGUUAAGUGGGAAACGAUGUGGGAAGGCACAGACAGCCAGGAUGUUGGCUUAGAAGCAGCCAUCAUUUAAAGAAAGCGUAAUAGCUCACUGGUCGAGUCGGCCUGCGCGGAAGAUGUAACGGGGCUAAACCAUGCACCGAAGCUGCGGCAGCGACACUUAGGUGUUGUUGGGUAGGGGAGCGUUCUGUAAGCCGUUGAAGGUGACCUGUGAGGGUUGCUGGAGGUAUCAGAAGUGCGAAUGCUGACAUAAGUAACGAUAAUGCGGGUGAAAAACCCGCACGCCGGAAGACCAAGGGUUCCUGUCCAACGUUAAUCGGGGCAGGGUGAGUCGACCCCUAAGGCGAGGCUGAAAAGCGUAGUCGAUGGGAAACAGGUUAAUAUUCCUGUACUUGGUGUUACUGCGAAGGGGGGACGGAGAAGGCUAGGCUGGCCGGGCGACGGUUGUCCCGGUUUAAGCGUGUAGGGGGAGUGACCAGGUAAAUCCGGUUGCUUAUCAACCCUGAGGCGUGAUGACGAUGCACYACGGUGCAGAAGCAGUUGAUGCCAUGCUUCCAGGAAAAGCCUCUAAGCAUCAGGUAACAUUAAAUCGUACCCCAAACCGACACAGGUGGUCAGGUAGAGAAUACUCAGGCGCUUGAGAGAACUCGGGUGAAGGAACUAGGCAAAAUGGUGCCGUAACUUCGGGAGAAGGCACGCUGGCGUUAGGUGAAAGGACUAGCUCCUGGAGCUGAAGCCAGUCGCAGAUACCAGCUGGCUGCAACUGUUUAAUAAAAACACAGCACUGUGCAAACACGAAAGUGGACGUAUACGGUGUGACGCCUGCCCGGUGCUGGAAGGUUAAUUGAUGGGGUCAGCCGCAAGGCGAAGCUCUUGAUCGAAGCCCCAGUAAACGGCGGCCGUAACUAUAACGGUCCUAAGGUAGCGAAAUUCCUUGUCGGGUAAGUUCCGACCUGCACGAAUGGCGUAAUGAUGGCCAGGCUGUCUCCACCCGAGACUCAGUGAAAUUGAACUCGCUGUGAAGAUGCAGUGUACCCGCGGCAAGACGGAAAGACCCCGUGAACCUUUACUAUAGCUUGACACUGAACAUUGAGCCUUGAUGUGUAGGAUAGGUGGGAGGCCUUGAAGUGUGGACGCCAGUCUGCAUGGAGCCAACCUUGAAAUACCACCCUUUAAUGUUUGAUGUUCUAACUCGGCCCCAUGAUCUGGGGUGAGGACAGUGUCUGGUGGGUAGUUUGACUGGGGCGGUCUCCUCCCAAAGAGUAACGGAGGAGCACGAAGGUUAGCUAAUCACGGUCGGACAUCGUGAGGUUAGUGCAAAGGCAUAAGCUAGCUUGACUGCGAGAGUGACGGCUCGAGCAGGUACGAAAGUAGGUCUUAGUGAUCCGGUGGUUCUGAAUGGAAGGGCCAUCGCUCAACGGAUAAAAGGUACUCCGGGGAUAACAGGCUGAUACCGCCCAAGAGUUCAUAUCGACGGCGGUGUUUGGCACCUCGAUGUCGGCUCAUCACAUCCUGGGGCUGAAGUAGGUCCCAAGGGUAUGGCUGUUCGCCAUUUAAAGUGGUACGCGAGCUGGGUUUAGAACGUCGUGAGACAGUUCGGUCCCUAUCUGCCGUGGGCGUUGGAAGAUUGAGAGGGGCUGCUCCUAGUACGAGAGGACCGGAGUGGACGAAUCACUGGUGUUCGGGUUGUCAUGCCAAUGGCAUUGCCCGGUAGCUAAAUUCGGAAGAGAUAACCGCUGAAAGCAUCUAAGCGGGAAACUUGCCUCGAGAUGAGUCUUCCCUGGGRCUUWAAGYCCCCUGAAGGAACGUUAAAGACUAUGACGUUGAUAGGCUGGGUGUGUAAGUGCAGCGAUGUAUUGAGCUAACCAGUACUAAUGAUCCGUGAGGCUUAACC